rnacentral:rRNA from 1 species
AUGCAGUCGAGCGGAGAUGAGGUGCUUGCACCUUAUCUUAGCGGCGGACGGGUGAGUAAUGCUUAGGAAUCUGCCUAUUAGUGGGGGACAACAUUCCGAAAGGAAUGCUAAUACCGCAUACGCCCUACGGGGGAAAGCAGGGGAUCUUCGGACCUUGCGCUAAUAGAUGAGCCUAAGUCGGAUUAGCUAGUUGGUGGGGUAAAGGCCUACCAAGGCGACGAUCUGUAGCGGGUCUGAGAGGAUGAUCCGCCACACUGGGACUGAGACACGGCCCAGACUCCUACGGGAGGCAGCAGUGGGGAAUAUUGGACAAUGGGCGGAAGCCUGAUCCAGCCAUGCCGCGUGUGUGAAGAAGGCCUUUUGGUUGUAAAGCACUUUAAGCGAGGAGGAGGCUACUUAGAUUAAUACUCUAGGAUAGUGGACGUUACUCGCAGAAUAAGCACCGGCUAACUCUGUGCCAGCAGCCGCGGUAAUACAGAGGGUGCGAGCGUUAAUCGGAUUUACUGGGCGUAAAGCGUGCGUAGGCGGCUGAUUAAGUCGGAUGUGAAAUCCCUGAGCUUAACUUAGGAAUUGCAUUCGAUACUGGUCAGCUAGAGUAUGGGAGAGGAUGGUAGAAUUCCAGGUGUAGCGGUGAAAUGCGUAGAGAUCUGGAGGAAUACCGAUGGCGAAGGCAGCCAUCUGGCCUAAUACUGACGCUGAGGUACGAAAGCAUGGGGAGCAAACAGGAUUAGAUACCCUGGUAGUCAUGCCGUAACGAUGUC